GAUGAACGCUGGCGGCGUGCCUAAUACAUGCAAGUCGAGCGAACAGACGAGGAGCUUGCUCCUCUGACGUUAGCGGCGGACGGGUGAGUAACACGUGGAUAACCUACCUAUAAGACUGGGAUAACUUCGGGAAACCGGAGCUAAUACCGGAUAAUAUAUUGAACCGCAUGGUUCAAUCGUGUAAGACGGUUUUGCUGUCACUUAUAGAUGGAUCCGCGCCGCAUUAGCUAGUUGGUAAGGUAACGGCUUACCAAGGCAACGAUGCGUAGCAGACCUGAGAGGGUGAGCGGACACACUGGAACGGAGACACGGUCCAGACUCCUACGGGAGGCAGCAGUAGGGAAUCUUCCGCAAUGGGCGCAAGCUUGACGGAGCAACGCCGCGUGAGUGAUGAAGGUCUUCGGAUCGUAAAACUCUGUUAUUAGGGAAGAACAAAUGUGUAAGUAACUAUGCACGUCUUGACGGUACCUAAUCAGAAAGCCACGGCUAACUACGUG
rnacentral:rRNA from 1 species